rnacentral:rRNA from 1 species
CCUACGGGAGGCAGCAGUGGGGAAUAUUGGACAAUGGGGGCAACCCUGAUCCAGCCAUGCCGCGUGUGUGAAGAAGGCCCUCGGGUUGUAAAGCACUUUCAGUGAGGAAGAACGCCUGGUGGUUAAUACCCAUCAGGAAAGACAUCACUCACAGAAGAAGCACCGGCUAACUCCGUGCCAGCAGCCGCGGUAAUACGGAGGGUGCGAGCGUUAAUCGGAAUUACUAGGCGUAAAGCGCGCGUAGGUGGCUUGAUAACCCGGUUGUGAAAGCCCCGGGCUCAACCUGGGAACGGCAUCCGGAACUGUCAAGCUAGAGUGCAGGAGAGGAAGGUAGAAUUCCCGGUGUAGCGGUGAAAUGCGUAGAGAUCGGGAGGAAUACCAGUGGCGAAGGCGGCCUUCUGGACUGACACUGACACUGAGGUGCGAAAGCGUGGGUGGCACACAGGAUUAGAUACCCCGGUAGUC